GAUGAAGAACGUAGCGAAAUGCGAUACGUAAUGUGAAUUGCAGAAUUCAGUGAAUCAUCGAAUCUUUGAACGCACAUUGCGCCCGCCAGUAUUCUGGCGGGCAUGCCUGUUCGAGCGUCAUUUCAACCCUCAGGCCCCCAGUGCCUGGCGUUGGGGAUCGGCGCGGCGCCCUCCGGGGCGCUGCCGGCCCCGAAAUUCAGUGGCGGUCUCGCUGUAGCCCUCCUCCGCGUAGUAGCACAACCUCGCGGCCUGGAGCUCGGCGGUGGCCAUGCCGUAAAACACCCCACUUCUGAAAGUUGACCUCGGAUCAGGUAGGAAUACCCGCUGAACUUAAGCAUAUCAAUAAGCGGAGGA
rnacentral:misc_RNA from 1 species